AGAGUUUGAUCCUGGCUCAGAGCGAACGCUGGCGGCAGGCCUAACACAUGCAAGUCGAGCGCCCCGCAAGGGGAGCGGCAGACGGGAGAGUAACACGUGGGUAACCUGCCCUCGGCACCGGGAUAGCCCGGGGAAACCCGGAUUAAUACCGGAUGGCCCUUUCGGUCUUCGGACCGGUCGGGAAAGGUAGCUUCGGCCUCCGGCCGAGGAUGGGCCCGCGGCGGAUUAGCUUGUUGGUGAGGUAACGGCUCACCAAGGCCCCGAUCCGUAGCUGGUCUGAGAGGACGAUCAGCCACACUGGGACUGAGACACGGCCCAGACUCCUACGGGAGGCAGCAGUAGGGAAUCUUGCGCAAUGGGCGAAAGCCUGACGCAGCGACGCCGCGUGCGGGAAGACGGCCUUCGGGUUGUAAACCGCUUUCAGGAGGGACGAAGCCACUCGGGUGAAUAGCCCAGAGGGUGACGGUACCUCCAGAAGAAGCCCCGGCUAACUACGUGCCAGCAGCCGCGGUAAUAC
rnacentral:rRNA from 1 species